rnacentral:rRNA from 1 species
UACGAAGGGGGCUAGCGUUGCUCGGAAUUACGUGGCGUAAAGGGCGCGUAGGCGGACAGUUAAGUUGGGGGUGAAAGCCCGGGGCUCAACCUCGGAAUUGCCUUCAAUACUGGCUGUCUUGAGUGCGGGAGAGGUGUGUGGAACUCCGAGUGUAGAGGUGAAAUUCGUAGAUAUUCGGAAGAACACCAGUGGCGAAGGCGACACACUGGCCCGUUACUGACGCUGAGGCGCGAAAGCGUGGGGAGCAAACAGG